GAUGAUGUUAGUGCUCACUUUGCUAGACCUGAAUACCCAAAGACACUGCAUCACUCCGGUGUUUUGUAGCAAUCCUGUAGACCCAAGCCCAGAAGCCCUGCAACACAAGUUCUGCUUGCUGCCAACAGGGAUAACACAAGGAACUUCCAUGAAACCUCUCCGGAUUCUGAUUUAUCUACUGAAUGGGGAAUGGAUCAUUAGCAGAGAACAAGUGCCACCAGUGGUGACCAAAAGCUAUGGUCACCUAACCACCCCCUGAAGUGCCUGAUGAAGUACCCAGGAGUGCACAUCUGUUGUGUGAAAACUCUGAUGGUGGGCAGCACUCGGAGCUGUCAUCAGCAACUGGUCCUUUAGUACUUCUUCAGGGAAGUGCUGCAAACACAGUGACGACAGGCACUCUUUCCCUGCCCCUGCUGUAAAAAUGAUGCACAUAAAUGGGUGAGCUCAAUUGCCCCAUUAUUUCAGGCCAACAUCUUUCACAAGCAUUUCAGGAACAGCUUCAAAGGCAUGCAGCUCAAACUAAUCAGAAGCAUACAGGAGGUCAGAAUUACUGUCUAGUCUUGGAAAAAUCAGAAUAUAUAUUCUUUUCUCUUUUUCUGUUUUUAUCAGGCAUUUUUGUUUAAAAUAGAUAAGCAACUUCUUUUAUAACAAACCUGGAAAUUGUUGCUUAAAAUUAGUAAGUUACAAUUUCAAUGAAUGACCUAUCUGGAGCAGCUGGGUUUAAACUCUCAAGGGAGAAGUUGGGGAAAGGAAAGGGAAAAAGCAGGAGUACAUGAUUGUUUCUGUACUGAUUCACAGAUCUGUUUGCCAUCAAAUCUGUCAUUGUGGUGGUGACAUGAACUUGUUACAGCUAAAAGCAAAGAAUGCAGAAAGUAAGGGCGUUUGACCCUAAAGCCCAAAAUACUCAAAGGUUUAGUGUUUUGAGUAAGGCAAUGAUCCAAAGCCUAUAAAAGCAGAAGAAAAAUAGCCUUUCGCUUCAGUGGGCAUUGCAUCAGGCCUUCAGAUGACUGGCAAUCAGCAGACUUCAUGCUGUGUAAUUCUUUAUGAAAGAAGCGUUAGUUCUCCAACACACAGUCAGCUGAGGAGGAAUAAGACAUGCUGUGUCUUUGCAACUUACCCUUCUGGUCAGCAGACAUCCCC